GACGAACGCUGGCGGCGUGCUUAACACAUGCAAGUCGAACGAAGUGGCGAACGUGUGAGUAACGCGUAAUCAACCUGCCCUUCCGAGGGUGACAACAGUUGGAAACGACUGCUAAUACCGCAUAAUGUAGGAGGGGAUUGGGUAUGCGUAGCUAGUUGGAGGGGUAACGGCCCACCAAGGCGAUGAUCAGUAGCCGGUCUGAGAGGAUGAACGGCCACAUGGUGACUGGGCCACGGCCCAGACUCCUACGUGAGACAGCAGUUGGGAAUCUUCCGCAAUGGACGAAAGUCUGACGGAUCAACGCCGCGUGAGUGAUGACGGCCUUCGGGUUGUAAAGCUCUGUUAAUCGGGACGCGGUACCGGAAUAGAAAGCCACGGCUAACUACGUGCCAGCAGCCGCGGUAAUUC
rnacentral:rRNA from 1 species